rnacentral:lncRNA from 1 species
CCACAUAAAUUUGAAAUUCUGCAUUUUCCUGGGUAAAUUUAUAGGAUAAUUAAUGCUUUAUCAAGGGCUUCAGAAAUCUGAAAACAACUAUGAACAGAAUGUACCAUAACAGUGGGCUCUGCAAGAUAUUUUUAAAGUGUAACUCUGUGCCCUGUGUCCUUCACAAAACAACAACAAGAAAUGGGCCCAUAAGUGACAAGAAGGCUGUUAUAAAUUUGAAUAACUCAAACAGUACUUGGAACAGACAAGUAGUGGACUCUAAAUGCAGGAUUUUUCUAAAGUACAUACAACUGAAAAGAAUAUUUCAAGGAUAAAGACGAAGAUUCAAUCAGUCCUUGGUCAGUGCAGGUGGUGGUAUAGAAACAAUUUCAGCAGUCUGAUCUAGAUACUAAU